ensembl:lncRNA
AAAAAAAAUAAAGAAAUGAUACUCUAAAUAUGAAACUAAAUGUGCCAGGAGGUGACGGCAAAUUGCUGUCUUGAUUGAGCCAUUCAGUUAUUCAUUCAGCCGAUUCAUUCAAAUGGCUGAUUCAUUCAGAAACGAAGCAAGUGACUGUUUGCUAUAAAUGGCACAUUGAAUCAUUGACUCAAUCCAUUUAUUUAAACACAUGGAUUCGUUCAGUAUUACCUUUAUAGGUAAUAUUUUCUUUGGCAAAACUGCACAAAAACAAUACUGACAGUGUCUAAAAUGUAACACAAUAUUAUCAUAAUGGUUAUCGAACAGCUGUUAUAUUUUGCUUAUUUAGGAAAAAUAAGCUCUCUUUUUUGUGAUAUUGCUAAACUACAUCAUAUGAUAUAAUUAUAAGAUAAACCCAUCCAGGGGCAUUUUUGCCAUUAUAUCUUGAUUUUUAGGUUCAUUUAACUGCAUUCUAAUAGGCUUCAUUAUGCAGUUAGUCAUCCUGCAUAACAUUUGUCAACAACUGCAUCAAUGUAAGAUGAUAAAUUCGUGGGGAAGUCAUGGCCUAAUGGUUAGAGAGUUUGACUCCUAACCCUAAGGCUGUGGGUUCGUGGGCAAUACCACGACUGAGGUGCCCUUCAGCAAGGCACUGAACCCCCAACUGCUCCCCGGGCGCCGCAGCAUAAAUGGCUGCCCACUGCUCCGGGUGUGUGUUCACGGUGUGUGUGUGCACUUUGGAUGGGUUAAUGCAGAGCACGAAUUCUGAGUAUGGGUCACCAUACUUAGCUGUAUGUCACGUCACUUUCUUUCACUUUCAAUCGGAGUUACUAGAAAGACGACAACACUUCAGACUCCAUUUAUCCACCCUUUUUUCCCGUAAGAGUGGGCACAACCAUUUAUACAUUUUCUGGCUCCGGGUCUUAUCCUCGUCCAGCUAAUUUUAGCUGUACAAAACAGUUUGUUUUGCUGAUUAAUAUUGCAAAUCUUACCUUAUUAUUUUAAUGUAUAACAGUAUCCUAAUUUUGAACUCACUGGUUUGUAGUGCAAACAGUUUUACAGUUUACUGCAUGUUGUUAUUCUUUUUGUUAUAUUUCCCUACAGCGGCUAAUGAACUGGAAGCCUCGCCCAUAGGCUUUCUUCCACAUUGAAGAAUAAGGUGGAUAAAAACUCCUUAGAGCUUUCUUCAGCAGAAGGAUGUGAUUGUGGCGUUACCAGGGCAACACCAUCCUGAAGCCGUCAGGAACUUAUCCGUUUCCACAGUAACAGCAUAUAGAGGUGAGAGGAGAUCAUUAUUUCAGAAAUAUUACAUCUGAGUGCCUCUGAUAGAAACAUAAUUAUGUUUUAUAUCCUCACUGUGUGCCAUUUAUGCAUUUCAGACUAUAAUAUUACAGAAGAUAAAUCACAUCCUUGCUACAAUAUCUAAAUAAUCAGCUGGUGAAGGAUGUUUUCUACACAGCGGCCCAAAGAAUUACAAUUACUUUUCAUCCAUGGCGGUGAUUUCCUAUAUCGUAAAAAAAAAAAAAAAAGGUGAUUGAA